UAUGCUUUUGGCCUUCACAACAUCCUCUGGCAAUGAGUUUCACAGGUUGACUGUGUGUUGUGUGAAAAAAAUUUAAUCUAAUUAAUUUUGGUGACAUUUCUAAAUAUUUAAACUUUCUUAAAAAAAAAGUAACUUUGACUGUUGAACAAGGAACUGAGAACAGUGAAUAAGGAACUAGGAAUAAGGACCACAUUGCACCUUGGUGAAGAACACCUUUUUUGUUUCAUAAGGAGUAGGCUGGCUGGACAACCCCCUGAAAAUCCUGCAGAAGGAAUGGAAUAUCCUUUGAAAAAGAGUCCUCUGUGCUGGCCUCCAACCCCAUCUCAAGAAGACCUGCCAUGAGGAAACAUUUCUGAUAUUUUGAGAAUUUUCAAGAGACAGAAAAACCACGUCCUGCUACGCUCUACCUAUUCCUCUAUUUGAAUUCAAUGGAAUCUGUAGGUUCUUGUCACCAGAAGUAAGGGAAGUAGGGACAGAAAAGGAAGCAAAAAUAAAUAAGAUUGAAGAUCAGAAGAAGCUAGAACUAUACAAGUUGCAAAUUGCCCAGAAAUGCUGAACACUGGGCAUUGUGAAAGUCUCUGGUAACUAAGAAUCCUCUGAGCUGAGUGCAUCCCAGUUUCAGUGAACUGCAGAGGGGGUGUGGCCCAGCAGAAGAAAGCAGGAAAAUGACACUUCUGUCUGCUCGAACAAAGACCCAGGGUCUGAAUAACUUGAAUAAAAGCUGUAGGUUUACCUGAAAGCAGCUAACAGAAAUGUGCUUGUUUCUAACACUCAGAUGUCCAACUCCUAAUGGGGUCUAAACCCAAAUUUAUGAGUUUACUCUGUAUAAGCGCUCCACACCCCAACCUCCUGCCCCAACCCUGAGCCUCUUCCUGCAUCCUAACUCCUGGCCAGACCCUGCACCCCAGCCUGCUCCUGCAUCACAACUCCCUCCCAGACCCUGCAUCCCCAACCCUGACUCCUGCACCCCCUUACACACCUCCAGCCACCUGCCCUCCCUGACUCCUACACCCCCUCACACACUCCCAGCCUUGACUCUUGCACCCCUCUGACACUCCCCCAGCUCCCUGCACUCCCUGAUUCCUGCAACCCCCCAUGCUCUCUGCCUCCCCACACCUUCGUCCCCCUGUCCUCCCUGACUGCUGCACCCCCUGAUCCCCACUUGCACUCCUUGCACCAAAUGGGAGCUGCCCCAGGUAAAUACUCCACACCCCAACCCCUGCCCCAGCCCUGAGCUCCCUCCCACAUCCUAACUCCUGGCCAGACCCUGCGCCUCAAUCCCCAGCCUGCUCCCAAACCCUAACUUCCUCCCAGACCCUGCACCCUCAGCCCUGAGCCCCCUCCUGCACCCUAAGUCCUGGCCAGACCCUGCACCCCAACAUUUUUUUAAUAAAGCAAUCUUAUCCAAAGCACUUUACAAUAGUUAGCUAACGUUACAAACAAUAUUUGGAAAGAUCAUUAAGUGGUCCGCAGAGACCCUCAGUGAUUUUCAAGUGGUCUGUAGAAAAAUAAGUUAGACUACAAAAACAGUCAACGUACCUCACUUUAUUUUCAUUUACUUCCUAUUACUUAUAGGAGGAGGAUGAAGGAAAAAAAGAAUGAAAAACGGGCAGAGGGGGCAGAUAAAGGAGAAGGUUCUUUUUCUUGGCUGGGUUCCAAGCAGGGGUCCCAAAAAUGAAGCUGGGCACUGGGUCUCACUAAUUCUAAAUCUGCCACUGCUUGUUACCCUUUGAAAACCAUCCAUCAGCAGCAUUUCAUCAUAUAUUGGGAUAGUUCUGAAUUAAGUUCUAAUUUCCUGGGCCAAAUUUUGCUCUUGGUUCUGCAUAUGCAAUACUCACUAAAACCAGUGGGAAUUGUAAGCACAUAGCGAAAUGCAGAAUUUGGAUUCCUCCAUCUUGUUGAUUAUAAAUUCAACUAAACAUUUUCUGAAAGACACUCUCUUUUUAUAAAUCAUACUGUACUGUGAACUGAAUAAGACUGUAAUCAUUUACAGGUAAGAUAAGACUUGGCAACGAUGCACCUAAUUUUCUGUCUUUUUGCUGCAAUGGUACAAAGAUGAGGUUUAAGAAAUGUGGUAAAUAAUAGUCAAUAAGCAGUGUUAAUUUUAAUAAUAUAUUUUGCAAAAUAUUAGUUGAUUACCUUGUGUUCUAUGUGAUCUCAUUGCUUGUGUUUAUAGGACAACUGACAAACCAGGGCUAUUUGGCUUAGCCAAUGUUAAUCCAAUAAUUAGCUGUUUCUUCCUCCAGACCUUCAGGGCAAGAUUUGGCGGUGGUUAAAUAAUAUUCAUGGGAAUAUGAUAAUAGAUCACUGUGUGCACUCGUUUUACCUUCUCAACUCUAGAAAAAACUAAUCUUGGUGAGAGGACCAAUCACAUCAUGUUUGUCAAAACAAACAAAUGGGACAGAUUCGGCUCUUAGCUAUGCUGGUUUAAAUCCAAAGUAGUUCCCCUCAAGUCAUAUGACUCCAGAUUUACAUCAUUGUAACUGAGGAGCAGAAUUUGGUUUAUUGUGUAUUUUGCAGUGGCAGUUGUUUCCCUGGUCUUCCACUGAGUUAGUUUAUUAAAAACACCACGAAGAAUAUAGCUAAGGUUUAACCAACAAAUCAAAUAUAGAAGAAAUAAUGCAAUCUUCAUCAGUGCCAGCAAGAGGGUAAGAGCCAAAAGGAUGUUACUUAAUUGUAGCCAUAAAGAAGUCUAGGGGGGAGAGUGCAGAGUUUGCAGUCUCUUCUCAGCCACUCCAUUUUAAAAAGAAAAAAAAGGCCCGCAACCACAUGUAUGAAUUUGUGUGAAGAUAGCGGAUGUUCUACAGCAUCAGACAAAGCUGCCUCUGAUCUCAAAAAGAACAGCAAGGUUCUUAAUCCGGCCUGGACCCACUGAGUGAUACCAGUCACCUAUCCCGGAAGGAGGAUCAGACCCAGAUAAUUAGGAGAAUAAGAAUUGAACUCCCAGUGUGCCUGUAUGGAUGACCAGCAUGCAGGGAGAUCUAAGACAUAGUAUGUAUUUGCACCCCCGACUCUCACAUACUUAACUAGUAUUCGAAGCCAGAAUGCAUAUGCUUAGCUUCUAAAUUUAACUUCUAGCUUAAAAAAAACCCCAAAAAAUCCCACACACCACAUAGCAGGCCAAGUUGUGAUCGGUUACAAAAGGGUAAUUACAGAGCAACGCUAUUAACUUCAAUGAAGUUUCACUAGAUUUACUGCAGAGCAACAGAGAACACGGUUGGGCCCCAAGACAGAUUCUAAAAUGUAACCUGACACUCUACUUUCUGAAAACUCUGUUGCAGAGGAGAGACGCACACUGAAUCUCACGCAAUUAUUUUAAAAAGAUGACUAUGUGAUUAUCAAUUAUAGUAACUUUGGGCCUGAUUCUGAUCUCACACCAUUUUUUCAAUGGUAACACUACUGAGAUCAGAAUUAGGCCCUAUGGGUUUAGGAUUAAUAUUUUACUGCCAUAAAAGCCUUUAUAGAGUUAAAAGGCAAAGUCUGAGAGCUAGCU